rnacentral:lncRNA from 1 species
UCGUCUUCUCGGCGGCUGCAACAGCGACCAUCGGCCGGCGCCUCUCCGAAUCGCCGGCCAUCGAUUCAGGCGAGCUUCCCGUUCCCUCCCUUCACUGCAAGCCCAAGUUUGCCGCUUCUAUUCCCCAGUUCGUUUCUUGACACUCUCUCUAUAUUCACGGUCCAACCCUAGCUCAGAUGAGCCGCCGCCGUCACCCGCCGUCGCUAGCGCCGGCGGCCCCACUGGACGACGAGGACCUCCUCCGCCUCCAUCAGCAGCCAUCCUCCCUCGCCCGCGCCUCCUCGGUCUGCACGCGCUGGCGCGGCAUCCUCUCCGACCCCCAAUUCCUCAAACGCUUCCGCAAACACCAUGGAAAACCUCUGCUCCUCGGCUUCUUCGCGGGGCCUGUUUUCAGAGACCACGUCUUCACUCCCGUCCCGGACUCGCCCGACCGCAUCCUUGUCGCACGCUUCUCCAUGACCAUGCCACAGAGCCACAACCCCUUCGACCGCUGGGACUUGGUCGGCUGCCGCCACGGCCUCGCCGUCCUGAUCAACAAGUGCCGGAAGGAGGUUGUCGUAUCGGAUCCCCUAACCGGCCGGCAGCAGUGCGUGCGUUUUCCACCGGGGCUCUGCGACGCCCUAUGGGGGAUUUUUUGUGACUGGCACGGAGCGGUGCUGUGCGCUGACGGCGAAGAUGGGCAUGUGCAUGGCGAUUGCCUAUCGAGCCCGUUCAAAUUGAUCUUGAUACGCAACGAAGACAUGCGGACAUUCGGCUCUCUCUACGACUCGGUGUCUCGUGUUUGGGGAAAUAUUUUCUCGGCGACUACAAAUAGUAUUUGUAGUAUAAGGUCCAGCAUUCUUGCCGGGAAUGCACUUUGCUGGUUGAUUUCGGGAGGUGCUGUCCUUGUGUUUGAUUUGGAAAUGCAGAACCUUAGCGUGAUCGAGAAGCCAGCAGAAAACCAUGUUAUCACUAGCUGGUGUUUGCAGCUAGUAUGGAUGGAGGAUGGCGGACUUGGCCUCGCUGUUUUGUCGGAGCUGACUGUCCAAUUAUGGGUGAGGAAAUCUAACCAUGAUGGUUUUGUCGGAUGGGUGUUGCUGCAGAAAACCAUUCCACUGGAGGGGAUGUUUAAACGGAGAAUGUGUAGUGACCGCACUCUUUGUGGGGUAUGAUGAGGACACAAAUGUGAUUGUUCUGACUACCAUGAUUGGCAACUUCAUGCUCCAACUUGACUCGAUGCAGCUCAAACAUAUUGUUGAAAGAAACAACAUAUGUUUCGACACCUUUUGGCCCUGUUUGGUUCGGCUAUGGAUUUCUAAAAGCAGAUGUGAAAAAUCUGAUGUGGAAAAACAGCUGUGGAAAAUCUGAUAUGAAAAGGAUGUAGGUCAUUUGGCAAACCAACUGAUACAGCUUUUUCAGAUUUUGGCCCACAGCGGAAUCAGAUUUUGGAAAGCACGUCCUGGCCUGCUUCCGCUUUUGGUUCAGAUUUUGACAGCGGAUUUUUGGGAUCGGAUUCUGCUGGGUUCGCCCUUUGGUUCAGAUUCUGCUGCGCGGUAGCGGAAUCCGUCGAUAAAAGCUGAACCAAACAGGGCCUUUAUCCCUACACGAAUUUCUACACUGCAGGUAAAAUACCUACCUAUCUACAUUUCAAAAGCAAAAAAGGGGUCCAUUUACUUUAUUUUGCUGGCCUUCAUUUGAGUUACUUUUGGUACUUGAUUGCUGAAAUAUUGUUCAUGUGAUUAAGGAUCAACAAGAUACAUAUAUAAAGAAUACAUUGAGUUAUUUGUUUCUUUGUAGGCCCGGCGAUCUCACAGUGAAGUAAUUUCUUAUUAUUACUUGGCCCAUUAAAGUUAGAACAGGAAUAUAGUUAUUGCUUUGUCGCCUGGCCAUUGCUAAAUGCUAACUUAUGGUUCUGUCCUUGUAUUGUUUUUUCAUCUGGAAACUGGCAGUAAUAUCGGUAGUGUGUGUGCUUAAGGAUUGAUUGCAGAUAUUUACGAACAGUUCUUCACUAACACAUCUUCUCUGAACAUGAAAAUUUCCAUAUCAUGUCCUUCGUUACUUGGUAAUGAUUAUUAUCCUUAUUCCUUGCAUUUGGGGAUAUAUGUGGCUUCAUUUACACAUUUCUUUCCUUGUCAGAAAAAAUAGCCUUUUGCCGUCAAGUUACAUUAUUACAUCUUAGUAUAUUACACGGAAAACAUAACUGUUUGCAGAUGUGACAUAUAUACUAUUGAUUCAGCUUUUCCAUUGGUUUAUUGGAUUCUUUUGCUUUAGGUAGGAGAAUUGCUGGUGGAGAUGGUGGAGCUGAAAAUGCAAACACAUGAGAUCUGCUAAUGUGCCUAAUGUGCUAUGUUGGUUGAACAGGUGGUGUAAAUUUAUCUUUUCUCCAUAAAACUUAGAUGCCGGAGUUUCUUGCUUUCUACUCCAUGAGCCUCUCAUGUGCACAUUAUACAGAAAAUAUAUUGAAUGGCUUGAUAAUCUAGAAAGUUCAGUAUUUGCCUCUGAUGGAGGCAUUGAGUCAACACUAGUGGUUGCCUCGAGAACAUGUCAACAGUAGAAGUUGAUGGCCCGUAGCGUAAACUACCAACUAAAUGUUAUACUAUUGCUAGGAUGAUAGCCAGUUUUGGGAUGAUUCAUGUUUGCAUAUUGUUGUAUGACCUCCAUAGUGUGGGUUGAUGCUUAUUAUUGCUGUAAUCAUGCAAAAUUAUGAGAUAUACCCUUUUUUCCACUCUACAUGUAUGAGAUAUAACUUGACCUGCUUCUUCGUGGGUGAGUUGUAUAAAUUGGUUUUGACAGAUGGCAUUUGUUGUUCUGCAGGUAUUUGGAGUUUUCUUCGGUUUGUUGAGGCGCAGAAAUGCGGAGAUGGCUCUUUUGCUGUAUGCCCUUCCGCUUUUGUGUGUUGUGGCUGCUAUUGUGGCCGGCACUGACGUUGACAAUAUAUGGAGCAGUAUGUAGGUUCUUCCGCUUUGUAUGAUGCGUCCUGUGAAGUGGACUUGUAGGAUUUAGUAUGUAAUUCGCUAACUUCUCUGAAUUACAACUAUCUACUAAUAUUUUCAGGGACUAUUAAUCCGGUUGCAUGCCUAGAUAGUGUUUGUGGAGUUGCUUCUGUUAGUGCCUGGAUCUGUCAGUGUAUUAACACCUUGUGGUUCAUUUGCUUUAUGUCUCAAUAACGCGGGCCUUUAUAUUUUUG